rnacentral:rRNA from 1 species
ACACGGCCUAUACUAGCAGUCGAGCGAUGGAUGACGCUUACUCUUAUGACGUGCGGCGGACGGGUGACGUACACGUGGGUAACCUGCCCUGACUGGGAUCUCCGGGAAACCGGGGCUUACCGGAUAACAUAUUUAGAACUAGCAUAGGUAUACGAAAUAUAGAAAGGCGGUCUAUACGGCUAGUACACUAUAAUAGGAUAGGACCCGCGUACGCAUAUAAGCUAAGUAUAGGUAGAGGUAAACGGCUACACCAAGGGCAACGAUAGCGUAAGCCGACCUAGAGAGGGUAGAUACGGCCACACUAGGGACUAGAGACACGGCCCAGGACUACCUAACGGGAGGCAGCAGUAAGGGAAUACUAUACCGCAAUAGGACGAAACGUACUAGACGGAGCAACGCCGCGUAGAGUAGAUAGAAGGCUAUAUACGGGUACCGUAAAAACUACUAGUAUAGUAUAAGGGAAGAACAAGUAGCUAAGUAAGAAUAAAGCUAGGCACCUAUAGACGGUAACCUAAACCCAGAAUCAGCCACGGCUAACUACGUGCCAGCCAGUCCCGCGGGUAAAUAAACGUAAGGUAGGGCCAAGGGCGGUUUUAUUUCUCCGGGGACACUUAUUC